rnacentral:rRNA from 1 species
CGGCAACAGCUCAAAUUUGAAAUCUGGCUCUUUCAGAGUCCGAGUUGUAAUUUGCAGAGGGUGCUUUGGUGGUAGUUGCGGUCUAAGUUCUUUGGAACAGGACGUCACAGAGGGUGAGAAUCCCGUAUGUG